rnacentral:rRNA from 1 species
UACGGAGGGAGCUAGCGUUGUUCGGAAUUACUGGGCGUAAAGCGCACGUAGGCGGCUUUGUAAGUUAGAGGUGAAAGCCUGGGGCUCAACCCCAGAAUUGCCUUUAAGACUGCAUCGCUUGAAUCCGGGAGAGGUGAGUGGAAUUCCGAGUGUAGAGGUGAAAUUCGUAGAUAUUCGGAAGAACACCAGUGGCGAAGGCGGCUCACUGGACCGGUAUUGACGCUGAGGUGCGAAAGCGUGGGGAGCAAACAGG